rnacentral:rRNA from 1 species
UACUGAGGUCCCAAGCGUUGUUCGGAUUCAUUGGGCGUAAAGGGUGCGUAGGUGGCGCUGUAAGUCGGGUGUGAAAUUUCGGAGCUUAACUCCGAAACUGCAUUCGAUACUGCGGUGCUCGAGGACUGGAGAGGAGACUGGAAUUCAUGGUGUAGCAGUGAAAUGCGUAGAGAUCAUGAGGAAGACCAGUGGCGAAGGCGGGUCUCUGGACAGUUCCUGACACUGAGGCACGAGGGCCAGGGGAGCAAACGGG